rnacentral:rRNA from 1 species
GACGAACGCUGGCGGCGUGCUUAACACAUGCAAGUCGAACGGAAAGGCCCUGCUUUUGUGGGGUGCUCGAGUGGCGAACGGGUGAGUAACACGUGAGUAACCUGCCCUUGACUUUGGGAUAACUUCAGGAAACUGGGGCUAAUACCGGAUAGGAGCUCCUGCUGCAUGGUGGGGGUUGGAAAGUUUCGGCGGUUGGGGAUGGACUCGCGGCUUAUCAGCUUGUUGGUGGGGUAGUGGCUUACCAAGGCUUUGACGGGUAGCCGGCCUGAGAGGGUGACCGGCCACAUGGGGACUGAGAUACGGACCAGACUCCUACGGGAGGCAGCAGUGGGGAAUAUUGCACAAUGGGCGGAAGCCUGAUGCAGCAACGCCGCGUGCGGGAUGACGGCCUUCGGGUUGUAAACCGCUUUCGCCUGUGACGAAGAGUGAGUGACGGUAAUGGGUAAAGAAGCAACGGCUAACUACGUG